GAUGAACGCUGGCGGCGUGCCUAAUACAUGCAAGUCGAGCGAACAGACGAGGAGCUUGUUCCUCUGACGUUAGCGGCGGACGGGUGAGUAACACGUGGAUAACCUACCUAUAAGACUGGGAUAACUUCGGGAAACCGGAGCUAAUACCGGAUAAUAUAUUUAACCGCAUGGUUCAAUAGUGAAAGACGGUUUUGCUGUCACUUAUAGAUGGAUCCGCGCCGCAUUAGCUAGUUGGUAAGGUAACGGCUUACCAAGGCAACAAUGCGUAGCCGACCUGAGAGGGUGAUCGGCCACACUGGAACUGGGACACGGUCCAGACUCCUACGGGAGGCAGCAGUAGGGAAUCUUCCGCAAUGGGCGAAAGCCUGACGGAGCAACGCCGCGUGAGUGAUGAAGGUCUUCGGAUCGUAAAACUCUGUUAUUAGGGAGGAACAAAUGUGUAAGUAACUAUGCACGUCUUGACGGUACCUAAUCAGAAAGCCACGGCUAACUACGUG
rnacentral:rRNA from 1 species